AUUGAACGCUGGCGGCAUGCCUUACACAUGCAAGUCGAACGGCAGCACGGGUGCUUGCACCUGGUGGCGAGUGGCGAACGGGUGAGUAAUACAUCGGAACAUGUCCUGUAGUGGGGGAUAGCCCGGCGAAAGCCGGAUUAAUACCGCAUACGAUCUACGGAUGAAAGCGGGGGACCUUCGGGCCUCGCGCUAUAGGGUUGGCCGAUGGCUGAUUAGCUAGUUGGUGGGGUAAAGGCCUACCAAGGCGACGAUCAGUAGCUGGUCUGAGAGGACGACCAGCCACACUGGGACUGAGACACGGCCCAGACUCCUACGGGAGGCAGCAGUGGGGAAUUUUGGACAAUGGGUGAAAGCCUGAUCCAGCAAUGCCGCGUGUGUGAAGAAGGCCUUCGGGUUGUAAAGCACUUUUGUCCGGAAAGAAAUCCUUGGCCCUAAUACGGUCGGGGGAUGACGGUACCGGAAGAAUAAGCACCGGCUAACUACGUG
rnacentral:rRNA from 1 species